GCGGCAAAAGCUUAAAACGAGCGUCGAUCUUGUAAGUCGAAGGAUGGAGGCCCAAGCCUCCUUGCCGUA
rnacentral:tRNA from 1 species